rnacentral:ncRNA from 18 species
GCCCCGGUCGUCUAGCCCGGUCAACCUGCAGGGGGUUGAGAGGAUAUCGGCCUUUCGAGCCGAGGAUCCCGGGUUCAAAUCCCGGCCGGGGCACCA